GACAGAGGUGGCGAGCGUUAUCCGGAUUGACUGGGCGUAAAGGGCGUGUAGGCGGUUCUAUAAGUCGGUCGUGAAAGGCGUCGGCUCAACCGAAGCAGUGCGACCGAGACUGUAGGGCUUGGAGCGCGGAAGAGGGAAGCGGAAUUCCCGGUGUAGUGGUGAAAUGCGUAGAUAUCGGGAGGAACACCAGUGGCGAAGGCGGCUUUCUGGCCUGCUCUUGACGCUGAGGCGCGAAAGCUAGGGUAGCAAACGGG
rnacentral:rRNA from 1 species